rnacentral:misc_RNA from 1 species
AAAGUCGUAACAAGGUAACCGUAGGUGAACCUGCGGUUGGAUCAUUACUAUAAAUAUCCGUUCUCCCAAAAAAGGAGUGAUCGGAGGCCAUGGCCCUACAGGCAUAUAUUAUAAUGUCCUAGGGCUUCUGGUAACAUUAUGUGAACUGUAUUGUCUCUGGCGGGGGGGGUCGAGUAUGAAUCAUUUACUCUAUCUGUCAGCUUGGCGCUAAUAUUUUGUCAAGCCGUGGACAUCCCGUCAAACUCUUGUAUAAACCUAUUGUCUUUUUUUCUUCUGUCUGACAUUUUUUGUAUGAAAAUAUUACAAACAACUUUUGGCAACGGAUCUCUUGGCUCUC